ACCCGCACAAGCGGUGGAUGAUGUGGAUUAAUUCGAUGCAACGCGAAAACCUUACCUACCCUUGACAUGUCUGGAACCUUGGUGAGAGCCGAGGGUGCCUUCGGGAGCCAGAACACAGGUGCUGCAUGGCUGUCGUCAGCUCGUGUCGUGAGAUGUUGGGUUAAGUCCCGCAACGAGCGCAACCCUUAUCAUUAGUUGCUACGCAAGGGCACUCUAAUGAGACUGCCGGUGACAAACCGGAGGAAGGUGGGGAUGACGUCAAGUCCUCAUGGCCCUUAUGGGUAGGGCUUCACACGUCAUACAAUGGUCGGUACAGAGGGUUGCCAAGCCGCGAGGUGGAGCCAAUCCCAGAAAGCCGAUCGUAGUCCGGAUUGUUCUCUGCAACUCGAGAGCAUGAAGUCGGAAUCGCUAGUAAUCGCGGAUCAGCAUGUCGCGGUGAAUACGUUCCCGGGUCUU
rnacentral:rRNA from 1 species